GACAUAGGUUGCGAACGUUAUCCGGAAUUAUUGGGCGUAAAGGGUGCGUAGAUGGUGUAAUAAGUUAUCAGUGGUAAAUCGGGGCUUAACCUCGUGGAAGCUGAUAAUACUGUUAUGCUUGAGUUCAGGAGAAGUUAACGGAACUCUAUGUGGAGCGGUAAAAUGUGACGAUAUAUAGAAGAACACCAAUAGGCGAAAGCAGUUAACUAUUCUGUUACUGACAUUGAGGCACGAAAGCGUGGGGAGCAAAACGG
rnacentral:rRNA from 1 species